UACAGAGGUCCCGAGCGUUGUUCGGAUUCACUGGGCGUAAAGGGUGCGUAGGUGGUGAGGUAAGUCGGAUGUGAAAUCUCCGGGCUCAACCCGGAAAUGGCAUUGGAAACUACCUUGCUGGAGGAUUUGAGGGGGGAUUGGAAUACUUGGUGUAGCAGUGAAAUGCGCAGAUAUCAGGAGGAACACCGGUGGCGAAGGCGGUGGUCUGGGCCGGCACUGACGCUGAGGAGCGAAAGCGUGGGGAGCGAACAGG
rnacentral:rRNA from 1 species